UGGGGAAUAUUGGACAAUGGGCGAAAGCCUGAUCCAGCCAUGCCGCGUGUGUGAAGAAGGUCUUCGGAUUGUAAAGCACUUUAAGUUGGGAGGAAGGGCAUUAACCUAAUACGUUAGUGUUUUGACGUUACCGACAGAAUAAGCACCGGCUAACUCUGUGCCAGCAGCCGCGGUAAUACAGAGGGUGCAAGCGUUAAUCGGAAUUACUGGGCGUAAAGCGCGCGUAGGUGGUUAGUUAAGUUGGAUGUGAAAUCCCCGGGCUCAACCUGGGAACUGCAUUCAAAACUGACUGACUAGAGUAUGGUAGAGGGUGGUGGAAUUUCCUGUGUAGCGGUGAAAUGCGUAGAUAUAGGAAGGAACACCAGUGGCGAAGGCGACCACCUGGACUGAUACUGACACUGAGGUGCGAAAGCGUGGGGAGCAAACAGGAUUAGAUACCCCUGUAGUCCCUGAGCGGGCUGGCAAGGCGCAU
rnacentral:rRNA from 1 species